rnacentral:rRNA from 1 species
UACGAAGGGGGCGAGCGUUGUUCGGAAUUACUGGGCGUAAAGGGCGCGUAGGCGGCGACUCAAGUUAGCUGUGAAAGUCCUGGGCUUAACCUGGGGACUGCAUUUGAUACUGGGUUGCUUGAAUUCGGGAGAGGAUAGCGGAAUUCCCAGUGUAGAGGUGAAAUUCGUAGAUAUUGGGAAGAACACCGGUGGCGAAGGCGGCUAUCUGGACCGACAUUGACGCUGAGGCGCGAAAGCGUGGGGAGCAAACAGG